rnacentral:rRNA from 1 species
AUCAACUUUCGAUGGUAGGAUAGAGGCCUACCAUGGUGGUAACGGGUAACGGGGUGUUAGGGCACGACACCGGAGAGGGAGCCUGAGAAACGGCUACCACAUCCAAGGAUGGCAGCAGGCGCGCAAAUUACCCAAUCCCGACACGGGGAGGUAGUGACAAUAAAUAACAAUACGGGGUUCUUUUGGAUUUCGUAAUUGGAAUGAGUACAAUUUAAAUCUCUUAACGAGGAACAAUUGGAGGGCAAGUCUGGUGCCAGCAGCCGCGGUAAUUCCAGCUCCAAUAGCGUAUAUUAAAGUUGUUGCAGUUAAAAAGCUCGUAGUUGAAUUUCGGGGUCAGUAGGUCGGUCAUGCCACUGGUAUGUACUGGUCUCACUGAUUUCUCCUUCCUGAUGAACCGUAAUGCCAUUAAUUUGGUGUUGCGGGGAGACUGGACUGUUACUUUGAAAAAAUUAGAGUGUUUAAAGCAGGCUAACGCUUGAAUACAUUAGCAUGGAAUAACGGAAUAGGACGUUCGAUCUUAUUUUGUUGGUUUCUAAGAUUGACGUAAUGAUUAAUAGGGAUAGUUGGGGGCAUUAGUAUUCAAUUGUCAGAGGUGAAAUUCUUGGAUUUAUUGAAGACUAACUACUGCGAAAGCAUUUGCCAAGGAUGUUUUCAUUAAUCAAGAACGAAAGUUAGGGGAUCGAAGACGAUCAGAUACCGUCGUAGUCUUAACCAUAAACUAUGCCGACUAGGGAUCGGAUGAUGUUAAUUUUUUAAUGACUCAUUCGGCGCCUUACGGGAAACCAAAGUGUUUGGGUUC